rnacentral:lncRNA from 1 species
AUCAAUUGACAAGAUAUAUCAAAAUAUUGAUAAAAAUAUAUCAAGUAAACACAUUGAAAUUCAAAUCUAAACACAAAAUAUGAGUUAAACAAUUACGAGAAAGCAAUAUAAGACGAAUAAUACUAUGAAGUAUUACAAAUGAAAACAUAACAUAUUGCUCACAAAGCACAAAAUAGGUAAAAAAUCAUUUCCAUAUUAUACUAAAUUCUUCAACAAUCACCUAUGCUCUUCUUGAUGUCCAGAAUUUGUUGGCACACUUCCUUGAUAAGAAACCUAUAAUAUAAACAUAUAACAAUUAGAAAUGUAAAUCUAAAAAAUAAAACAAGUUAUUUAAAUUUUUUAAACAUUAUCGAUGAAGGAUUGAACAUAGUCAACUCAAGAAGCAAUUGACCUUGAUAAUUUUAAAAGAAAAAAUUCAUUAUUGUCACAAUUUUUUUUUUCACGUUCUUGGUAUCUUUUAUUUUGUUCAUCCAACUGUAACUUUAAAGAUAGAAAUAGUAAUCAAAACAAUAAUAUUCAGCUACAGUAUCUUUAAACUAAGGUCACCCCUCUUCUCUAAUUACUCUUUCUCUCCAAAUAGUAGCAAAAAUUUCUUUAUUUAUUUUAUGUAUUAAGAUCAAAUUUACGAAUUGGAUUUGAGCCUAUAAUUGCAGCUGUAUUUCAAAAAUUGAUGGCAAUUGGUACUCGUUGAUUCUAAAUCUACGAGGCAUGCUUUUCCCACUAUUUUUUCCUUUAAAGGAAAUCAAUAAUGAUGUGUAUUCUUUACUUAUUUAUUAUAUUGCUAAAAACCUUGUUCAACUCUCACUUUACUAAAAUAUUUAAUUUGAUUUGGGUGUUGGAAAAUGACUCUUAAUUGGUGACUAUUAAUAUUAGGACCUGUUCAAUCAAAAUUAUUAUUCCAAAUUUAGUAAGAUUGCAAUAAAAUGUGAAAUUCAUUUUAUAUACUGAAAUGGUUAAAGUGCAUUUUCUAAUAAAUAAAAUUUUAUAAUAGUUAAAUCACUAUAAUCAAAGAAAAGUUUUGUCAAUAGAACUUCAAAACACCACAGUACAAUUAUAACAAAGGGUUUAUAUAAAUUAACAGAAACUACUGAUGUAAGUGUCAAAUUACUUUCACAUUAAUUAUUUUGAAAACAAGCUAAUUCUGCUUUAGUGCUAAAUAGGUUUAUCUACUAAACUUUUGCUACAUCCAUAAGUUUGGUUUUUCUACAAUUAUGCAGGGGCUAUUACAAGUGCAACACAUUCAAAGGUUGUUCAGAAAAAAAGCAAGUAGAGAGAUGAAGAACAGAUGCUUCAAUGUUCAUCAUCACAUAUACCUUUGCACAUUACCAUCCAUGCCCCACCACCAUCACCACAACUAAAAUAAUCCGAAUCUGAAACCAACCAAGACCACUAAGCUACCUCAGAGGAGGAAGAUUAUGAACAUAUAGAAGAAGAGCAAAUGGAUGGGAGAGUGAAGGGAUUUCAUAAUUGGACAGUUUUCUAACCUCGUGCAGCUCAUUCACUGACUCACACUUCCACUAUUCUAUAUAAUAAUUUCACGGUGUCAAAAAUGAAAUAAUCAAGUUGGAGAAUCCAUUAGUUGGCAAUUAGAAUGAAAUCGGAACAAAACCUAAACUAUUCAUAUUCAUACCAAUUAUCAGAAGACAAAAUCAA